UAUAGACAGCAACACAAUUAUAGUAGGGGACUUUAACACCCCACUGUCAAUAAUGGAUAGAUCUUCCAAACAAAAAGUCAACAAGGAUAUUUUGGCAUUGAAUGACGCACUACAAAAAAUGGACUUAAGUGAUAUAUAUAGAACAUUUCACUCCAAAGAGACAAAAUACACAUUAUUUUCAA